GCUUUUCGCGGCAACUCUGGAUGCACCCCCGAGCGGCUGCGUGCGCCCUGCUCGGGGCAACCUACAACCUACUCCAAAGCGUCACGGGUUGAGCCUGAUUUAGUGCCCCGCGUGACGUUCCGCCGAGCGUACCCAGUCACGUCGCCCUUCGCCGUUCCCGCCGACGCGACACGACGUCCACGUGCUCGAGUGACCUCGCUGCCCGAUGACCCCGCGACGCGAAACCACCGCCGCGAUGACGUCAUAUAGUUUACACUGAUCCCUCUGCGACUGGUUAAAUCCUUUAUAAUCAUUUUUGGUGGCACGCAUUCUUCAUUGAAAACACGGCAGAGAUACAGAGAUACAUGUUAGCUCUUGGAUUUAUAUACAUCAGUAGGAUUAAUGGAGCAUGCUGUCUCAAAGAUCCACUAGUUGAUUUCGGCUUGAUUUGUGGUUCCGGUGUGAUUUGUGGUUUCGGAGUGGUGGUGUUACACACAAAACAUGAAUUGCAUUGCGUUCAUACUUGCACACUAAUGCACUUAUUGCCUUUUGAAUAUAUUCUCUCGAGCUCUCUCUUGCCCACCUCAUGCGAUGAUCUCCGACCUGAACAGCAGUUACCGCAAGCGGAUUUAUCGCUAACAUCGUCUACAGGGUCAUGUGCGUGAAGAAUGGGCGGGUGGUGUGCUGCGCGUACGAGUUGGAGCUAGAGAGCUGUUUGGGCGGCGAAGGCGGCGGCGGGGCUCGGGCGGAGAGG
rnacentral:lncRNA from 1 species